rnacentral:rRNA from 1 species
AUUAAACGCUGGCGGCAUGCCUUACACAUGCAAGUCGAACGGCAGCACGGGAGCAAUCCUGGUGGCGAGUGGCGCACGGGUGAGUAAAGUAUCUGAAAGUGCACAGUAGUGGGGGAUGACGUAGCGAAAGUUACGCCAAUACCGCAUACGAUCGAGGGAUUAAAGCGGGGGAUCGCAAGACAUCCAGCGAUCGGAGCGGCGCAUAAGAGAAUAGGUAGUUAGUGGGGUAAUGGCUCACCAAGCCGACGAUCUGUAGCUGGUCUGAGAGGACGAGCAGCCACACUGGGACUGAGACACGGCCCAGACUCCUACGGGAGGCAGCAGUGGGGAAUUUUGGACAAUGGGCGAAAGCCUGAUCCAGCCAUGCCGCGUGCAGGAUGAAGGCCUUCGGGUUGUAAACUGCUUUUGUACGGAACGAAAAGGUUUGGCCUAAUAAGCUGAGCUCAUGACGGUACCGUAAGAACAAGCACCGGCUAACCCUGUGCCAGCCGCCGCAGUAA